GAUGUGGUAGAUGCAUGUACUUUCCAAAGGUUAAUCUAAUUUUGCUGCUCUACAUCAAAGAUUACUUAGCAGCCAACAUCUUCAUCACUGAGGUCUGAUUUCUCUCUGGAGGUACUAAGAAACAGAUAUCCAUGAGACAAAACCUUACAAGUUUUGAGCCACCUAAAUCCAUUGUCUCCAAGUUUGGUUCCUAUGGCUCUAUUCAGCCUAAAGUUGCAAUAAAUGGACAAG